CCAUAUUCUUCUUCUCAUCCUCUCUGUCAAUUUCAUCUUCACUGGUUUUGAUCUUGAGUCUCUCGAGAUUAGUUCGUAUAAAGCUUGUAGUUGUUGAAUUGAGGGUGAAGGUGAUGAUGCUUCUAUCGAUUGGGUUUUGGAAGAAGUAGAUAGUUGGGGUUUGAGAAAUAAUCGAGUUACGGUUUCAAUUGAGGUUCAAAGAAGAAUUAUAAGAUGAAUAUGGUGGUUUAGGGGAUUGAAUUAGGAUGGGUUUGUCACGAAUCAGGUGUUAAGGUUGAUUUUGAAGAUCAGAUGGAUGAAUUAGAGUUAGGGUUUCAUGUUCUUCCCAAAUUAAAAUUAGGGUUCCUGUGAUUGGAAUCUGCUGAUGAAGAUUUGGAUGUGCGGGUGAUGGUUUGAGUGUUGGAUGAACUCAACUUGUGGGUUACAGAUAUUGGAAGCAGUGGUUGCUUGUUUUCUGUUGUAGCUGAAGUCAGUUUUAAGAAGAUUGUGAACUGGGAACUAGGGAUUUAAAUUGAAGUUAGUUUGUAUUAACAACGAUCGAUUCAAAGGAUGAACCAGCGGAUUGAGGAAUUCAAGGUGGGAGUGGCUUGUCGUCAAAUCAGGUGGGAACUCUGUAACCUUCUUGUAAUCAUUGAGUCUACCUUAUCUGUGAGCAUGAUGAGUUCUUUAUUUCAGUGAACAUGAUGUUUGUAAUUGAAUGAGUAUGUUGUGUGAUAUGCAUUAUGUGGUUCCCUGCGA